rnacentral:rRNA from 1 species
AUUGAACGCUGGCGGCAUGCUUUACACAUGCAAGUCGAACGGCAGCGCGGGCUUCGGCCUGGCGGCGAGUGGCGAACGGGUGAGUAAUGCAUCGGAACGUGCCCAGUAGUGGGGGAUAGCCCGGCGAAAACCGGAUUAAUACCGCAUACGACCUGAGGGUGAAAGCGGGGGACCGAAAGGCCUCGCGCUAUUGGAGCGGCCGAUGUCGGAUUAGCUAGUUGGUGGGGUAAAGGCUUACCAAGGCGACGAUCCGUAGCUGGUCUGAGAGGACGACCAGCCACACUGGGACUGAGACACGGCCCAGACUCCUACGGGAGGCAGCAGUGGGGAAUUUUGGACAAUGGGGGCAACCCUGAUCCAGCCAUGCCGCGUGCGGGAAGAAGGCCUUCGGGUUGUAAACCGCUUUUGUUCGGGAAGAAAUCCUCUGGGCUAAUACCCCGGGGGGAUGACGGUACCGGAAGAAUAAGCACCGGCUAACUACGUG